UCUUCAAAUCUAUGCCAGCAGUUUGGUUUUGUGUUUACAAGAAUUGAUUAUUAAAGAAUUCUCUUGGCAUUGAUCAAAUCCAUCUUGUUGCAUUAUCAGCCUUUUUACAUUUGAGCUCAACUCUCUUCUAGUAUUAAGUUAAUUUAUUGUAAACCUCCUGGUAUAAUUGUUGGAGAGUCAAGCCAUCAGAAAUUGUCUAAAUCUGCAAAACCUUCUUAAAAAGUAGAUCUUAAAGGAUGGUAGACUUUUCUUUUUCUUGCCCCAUUUUCAAUGAGAAUCAUGUGUUAUAGCGGUGAAAAAAGUUUUUUAUUGUCACAAUCAUGUUGUUAUGGCUUCAAUGACUAUAAAUUCAUAGCAAUUGACAUGUACUUUGAUUUCCUGGUUUGUGUUACAGACCUUGGAUUUUGUGGUGAGUGAAGUAAGAAAUCAGGGUCAUAUUGUUAUAAACUAACAACUAGGGUGCAUAUGGUGGUAAAACCUUAGUGGGAAGUAUUAAAGAGAUCUAGGAGAAGAUAGAGAAACUUCCCAAAAGUUGAGCAAGCAUUUGUAACUCAGCAGGAAUUAUUAUAUGUAUUUGAUUUGAAGAUUGCUUUCUUUGUUGAAAAUGUGAACCUUGAAUGGUUUCAUGUUGAAUUUCUUUUGCAACUCUUGUAUAAGUGAUUAGAGGUUCUUAUCUUAUGUAUUUAACAAGCAAGAUUUUUGGUAGGAACUUCUGUUGUUUCCAUUCAUGAAUCGCAUUUGAAGGAUUUUUCUUUUUAUGGUCAUCUUUUGCUUCAAAACAAGCUAUGAACCUGAAAUGUAUCCUAAUUCCAUAUAAUCAAAUGUACAAAGUAUACUCAAAACACUAGUACAUCAUUACCAAACCAAUUGGUGUAUAAACAACCAUUAGAGCAUUUGUUCCCAACUUUUGUCAAAGAUUACAAAACAAGAUUCUAAAUUAGAAAAAUAGCAUCCUAAGCUAGAAAAAUGGCUCGACUAUGUGCACCAUGGUUCCGGAUCCUCGAGUAUGCAUUUAAAAGGUGAGAUUCAAUUCAAAUAAAUCAAAGGCCUACAAUUUGCCACCUCAUCUAAAAGCAUCUGCCAGAGGAGAGGGAGAAGAAAGGUAAGCUCCCAUUGCCGACAGAGAUGUCAUGGUCAGCAGAGCUUGGCGGUUGUGGUCAUUGCAGUCAUGGAAGAGUGGGUGACCAGAUGGAGCCGGGUUUGGUAGUGCUGUUGCCGCUGGAGCUGGCUGCCAUGGUGGUGGUGGGACUGCUCAUGGUCUGGCAGCAAUAGCGGUGUGGCUGCAGAUCUUGAGUUUCAGUCCUAUUACCCAUAUAGUUAAGAUUUCGUAUUACUACUCCUACUUGGCUGUACUCCACAGGCUUUGUUUCAUGGCAUCCAAACCCCACCACCUCCUCCCCCUACCAAACUCAGCAGCAACGACAGUUGCAUCAAAGAGGGCAAGGACAAUGACCACUGACUCUUCUUCUUCCUCUUUCUCACCCAUCAAAGACGCUUUCACCAAAUACACGCUAUACCUCAACACCCUCUAAUUUACAUGCAUUCUGUUCCUCAGAGUGCCGCGACAAACAGAUCCUCAUUGACAAAUCGGGGGAGACAAGAAGCAAUUGCAAGGUAGCAAGACGAUUGCUGUGAAGUUGUGUUUGGUGUUCAACUGUGGAAAGGGCAUUCACAUAUUCUCAAACUACUCCUAGCCAGUACUAACAUUUGCAGUGCAUAGCUUUCAGGUUUUUGUGAUUGGCAUGCACUUUUGCAAAGGGCGGCAUCAUAUGAUUCUUUUAGUUAACACAUCUUUAGGUCUUGAAUAGCCACAGUUGUUUGUUUAGGAUCAGAACUUCUGUGUUCUGGAAGUAAUGACAUUGAUUGUGAAUUUCAUUUUAAUUUUUAAUCUAGAAAAUUUAAAUUGUA